ACGAAGGGGGCUAGCGUUGUUCGGAAUUACUGGGCGUAAAGGGCGCGUAGGCGGCUUGAUAAGUUGGAUGUGAAAUCCCAAGGCUUAACUUUGGAACUGCAUUCAAGACUAUCUUGCUCGAAUUCGGUAGAGGUUGGUGGAAUUCCCAGUGUAGAGGUGAAAUUCGUAGAGAUUGGGAAGAAUAUCCGUGGCGAAGGCGGCCAACUGGACCGACAUUGACGCUGAGGCGCGAAAGCGUGGGUAGCAAACAG
rnacentral:rRNA from 1 species